AGAGGGUGCGAACGUUGCUCGGAUUUACUGGGGCGUAAAGCGCGUGUAGGCGGACUCGCAAGUCGGUUGUGAAAUCCCUGGGGCUCAACCUAGGGAACUGCAUCCGAAACUGCCUGUCUUGAGUAAUGGAGAGGGUGGCGGAAUUCCCGGUGUAGAGGUGAAAUUCGUAGAUAUCGGGAGGAACAUCAGUGGCGAAGGCGGCCACCUGGACAUUUACUGACGCUGAGACGCGAAAGCGUGGGGAGCAAACAGGAUUAGAUACCCUGGUAGUCCACGCCGUAAACGAUGAGCACUAGGUGCAGCGGAUAUUGACCUCUGCUGUGCCGCAGCUAACGCGUUAAGUGCUCCGCCUGGGGAGUACGGCCGCAAGGCUA
rnacentral:rRNA from 1 species